rnacentral:rRNA from 1 species
CGCGUAGGCGGGAAUGCAAGUCAGAUGUGAAAUCCAGGGGCUUAACCCUUGAACUGCAUUUGAAACUGUAUUUCUUGGGUGUCGGAGAGGUUGACGGAAUUCCUAGUGUAGCGGUGAAAUGCGUAGAUAUUAGGAGGAACACCAGUGGCGAAGGCGGUCAACUGGACGAUAACUGACGCUGAGGCGCGAAAGCGUGGGGAGCAAACA